UACGUAGGGUGCAAGCGUUGUCCGGAAUUAUUGGGCGUAAAGAGCUCGUAGGCGGUUUGUCGCGUCGGCUGUGAAAACUCGGGGCUCAACCCCGAGCCUGCAGUCGAUACGGGCAAACUAGAGUGUGGUAGGGGAGAAUGGAACUCCUGGUGUAGCGGUGGAAUGCGCAGAUAUCAGGAAGAACACCGAUGGCGAAGGCAGUUCUCUGGGCCGUAACUGACGCUGAGGAGCGAAAGCGUGGGGAGCGAACAGG
rnacentral:rRNA from 1 species